ensembl:rRNA 5S_rRNA 5S ribosomal RNA
AUAUACAGUUAAAAACCAAUCAAAUAAUCUCGUCUGAUCGCGGAAGCUAAGCAGGAUCCGGCCUGGUUAGUACUUAGAUGGGAGACUGCCUGGGAAUACCAGGUGCUGUAGGCU